rnacentral:lncRNA from 1 species
UUCGCUGUGCAACUGAGACAGCUCAUCUUGAAUUGGCUUGGCAUAACUCAGCCUUCUGGACAGAAUUGGCAACAAUAUGUGAACUGGAUUGUUGGCAAAUCUAAAGGCAAAUCUCCACAAGCUCAUAUAUUCAAAAUGGUUCAUGCAGAGAUGUUCUAUGCUCUUUGGUUGGAAAGGAAUGCACGAAUCUUCAGAAGCACCUACUGUCCCAGUGAAAUUU